GUUGGUCAGGCUGGUCUCAAACUCCCAACCCUGUCAGGUGAUCCGCCCACCUUGGCCUCCCAAAGUGCUGAGAUUACAGGCAUGAGCCACUGCGCCCAGCUGGUGUCUUCUCUAUUUCAAGUAGAUGCUGGCAGGGAGAGAGAGAAACUCGCAAAGGUUAUGCAGUGGAAAAUCAGAGACUUGUUCCGGACGGGUGUUUGGGUUCUUAUUUUUCCCACCGAGUUUGUGGUGUUGAGUUCAACAGCCAUGCUAGGAAAGCCAGAAGACUGAAAUUCCACAACCUGUGGUAGAUGUUUAAACCCGAAGAGGGUGACGUGUCCCUGAAUUCCUUUUCUGCAGGCCACCUCACCUCCGCUGUAGGUGGAGCAGGUCUGGAAUUGGAGGUAGGGUGCUUGGCAAAGCCUUGUGUGGGCCACUCACUGAGUGCCAAGCGUGACCAAGGUCGUCCAUGCUCAUUCUCUCGUGGCUGUUAGGACUUGACUCAGAAAGUGUUUUCCUCCCCGGUCCCCCAUGUAAAAUUUCUCCCUCCCUCGCAUUCCUGCAACGUAUUUCGUUUCCCUUCCCUGGUUUACUCCUUGCCACAUCUCACGUCUCACCUGUAUCCUUCACUUACCCCGUUGACUAUUCCUCAUCGGAAUGCAAGCCUCACAAAAGGCAGGGGGUUUUGUUGGUGUUGUUCACUGUGUCCCCACUGCCUGUCCAAAAGUAGGCACUCAUGUGAAUAGCCACUGCAUGCCAGCCUGGGCAACAGAGUGAGACCCUGCCUCUAAAAAGAAGUAGUCAUCUGGCCAGGUACGGUGGCUCAGGUCUGUAAUCCCAGCACUUUUAAGAGGCUGAGGCGGGUGUGACUUGGUCUUUGUCACUGUUGUUUCAUCUUUGGAGAGGUCACAAAUAUUUUUUUGUUAAGUCAUCUGCCCUGAAGAUUUUCCAGGCCCAAUGUCAGGUUCACUGAUCUGUGGUUUGCAGAACUCACUUUCUUCCUCUUUUAAAAAAUGGUCAUGUAAUCUGCCUCUCUCUAACCUUUUGACAAGGUCAGAAAACCUUCUACGAAGUCAGGAGAGGGUCUGCAUGAUAUUCCCCUAAAACAGAAUCUGACUCUAAAUGAGUCACCUUUUUACAAUUCUCCCAAACAGCUGGUAAUGCAAGGGCAGGUCAGGAUGGCACAAGUCGGUGCCUUGUGCUAGGUUCACUUGCUGACCCAGGGAAGGAGUUUAUUCAGCCACAGCAUCCAUCCUCCUCCAUUCCCAUGAAUUCUACAAGAUGGCACUUGCAUCCUGCUGGACUCACGGCAGAACCUGCAGAGACCAAAAGCGUACCCACUCGCCUGUAGCAACCACGUAAAGGAAUGAGGGGUAUUGGACACAAACUGAAUUCACACCAAGCUGGAGACACCCUGAGUUCCAGCUUCACAUGCAUGGUGGCCACACCCAGUUGGUCAAACAAAUCUGGAGUGUACUAGAAGGAGCUAUGGUGCUGAAGGCUCCAUAACCCUCACGGCACUGCAGCUCCCAGCUUUUUUCUUCAUGUGUUCCCUUAAACUUUCCCAAGGAGUCUACAGUUCAAGUCUACAUCUUUCCAAGGACUGCCACUUCUGCUUGGGGUGUGGGACAGGUACUUGAUCAUCGAUCCAUAUGUCAUCUUUUCUCUUAAGUGAUAGAACUUGUUUCUCCUGCAUAACUCCCGUAAUUUCAGAAAACCCACCGUUUUCUAAAAUUGACAUUCAGCCCUAUUUCAGAUAUCACUGCAUUUCUUUAGAGACA
rnacentral:lncRNA from 1 species